UACGUAGGUGGCAAGCGUUAUCCGGAAUUAUUGGGCGUAAAGAGCGCGCAGGUGGUUGAUUAAGUCUGAUGUGAAAGCCCACGGCUUAACCGUGGAGGGUCAUUGGAAACUGGUCGACCUGAGUGCAGAAGAGGGAAGUGGAAUUCCAUGUGUAGCGGUGAAAUGCGUAGAGAUAUGGAGGAACACCAGUGGCGAAGGCGGCUUCCUGGUCUGUAACUGACACUGAUGCGCGAAAGCGUGGGGAGCAAACAGGAUUAGAUA
rnacentral:rRNA from 1 species